CUGGUUGAACCAUCUAUGAAUGCAUCAAGUAUCAGUUUAAGCUUUCUCCUUUGAAGUUUUUUGGCGUUGUUAGUCUUUUCAAUUUGUCUGGUACGAGGACGGUAAUGGUGCUCGCCGCUUCAGAAAUGGCCAUCGCUGACCACCAUCCGAUUCGUCCACCAAAUCGCCGCUUUGUUCUAUUCAUGGGUUAGUAUAUAUCGAUUCAUACAAUUUUUAUAAUUUAAUCUUCCAAAUUCAUGGAUAUUUUUGAUCAAUUUAUGCUAUAACAACAUCUAUGAAAUUAAAAAAAAAAAAAGAGAAAAGAAAAAAUUAGAUGUUGUGACCAAAAUCUGAAGUUUUUUUUAACCGGUUUACUAAUGUAUGAUCAAUUUGGUUGUGGAUUAUUCUUAUAAAACUUGAAAAUGCCUCAAUUUUAGAAUACACUUUAAGCUUCCAAAGGGGCUGGGCCGAGGUUUUUUUUUUUUUUUUUGAGAAAUUGUAAUUUUAGUAGAGAAUGAUGUUCUCUUUUGAUGGAUCAAUACAAGUCUCUUGAUUGCUGAUAGUGCCACCAACCAUGACUUCAAUUUAUGUUUAAUACUUCACUUUAUGCAACAAGGGAUUCAUAACGCGUGCUCUGUGUUUAUUGUAGUAAUGUAAUUAUUGGGUUCUAUAUGUUUGUUAUCAUUUUGGCAUGAGAAACGAGCUUACAUGUUGGGCGAGUGCAGCUUUGUGAUUUUAUUCUUGAACAUCCUGCUAUUUCUCGAUUUCAUGCUGGUAAGCUUCGGCUUUCAUUCCCUUUUAAGAACCAAUAUAUAUUUUUUUACCCAAAACAUUUGCAGCCCUUAUUGGCCUUAUCUUUACUACUUGCACACCGUAUAUAAUGCCUUUCACUUUUAGUUAAAUAAUGUUCCAGGUUGCGCCUAAGACCUUAGAAACAAGCCUAUAGUCAGCAUCUGCCGUUCUUGCGCAAGUAAGUGAUUAGUUGAGUGACCAAAUAUGUUCGGUUGGUAUCACUUGAAUGCAAAAAUAGCCAAUCGGGGUUUUUUUAUCAACCAACUGAUACUUUUUCGUUCCUUAAACUGGGUUUUAGGAUUGUAGAUGAAAGAGCAUUUGUUUUUUCAUUCAGAUUUGAAAAACUUAGAGAUAAAUUAAAGGUGCCAAACGCUUUUGGGUCCUUUUAACCUGUUCGACCCACUGGACCAGUUUCCCAUUUAGCUUAAUCUUUUGUUAAUUUGAUCUUUUAAGACAAACCAUAACCAAGUUGACCCGUUCACAAAUAAAUAUGCUGAAAUUGCCGCCUUUGACUAAGAUUUAUACAAUGUGUUAUAAAGCCUUAAGUAAGUGACUUUCUAUCUCUUAGCCUUCUAAGUGGUUCAUUUAAAAUAAUAAACUAUAAAAUAUAUAUAUAUAUAUAUCUUAUUAUAUAUAGUAUACAUACACAUGAGAAUUAGAAGUCUGACUCUACUUUUAGUAUGUUCUAUCAUUGUUAAAUUUUAGGUCUGGUAUACAAAUGGAAAGAGCUAGCGUAGAAGAUAGCAAUGUCAAUUUAGAUUUAGAGAGAAGCAAUGUACUUUUAAUGGUCCCAAGUGGCUCAGGUAUGACUCAUGAGGCUAUUCAACUGUUUUACUUAUUCUUCUUUCUUUCUUUGCAUAUCAGAUACUCUUAAGUUGCUAGCGUAGAAGAUCAUUUAAUGUUUAGUCACAAAUGUCAUGUGUCAUUGUGGCGUACUCUCACAUUUAAUUAGGCAUAUUUGGUGAGAUUUGUCUAAUAAUUAUAUCAGAUAUACACAUAUAUAAUAUUAAACGAAAAGGAUGAGGGAAUAUUUUUAUGGCACAAGUGGGUUCCUUUAUACCGAUUGGUGUGAAUAUUCUUAUGGCACAAGCGGGUUUCUUUGCUCCUUCUGACAAAGCUAUCAUUUUUAUCCGUAAUUGCAUUUUUGCUCGUGCUGGUGUUGGUGCUGGUGUCGGUGCCACUGAUAAGUUAUUAUAUAUUAUCCAUGAGUUGGGCAGUGGCAUAUAAAGUUGUGAUGGCUUAGCAUACUGCAUGUUGGAGCGUUUGAAUGAAAGUUAUUGGAAACUAUGGAGCGUCGACAUUGGCUAUAUCGGUGAAAAUCGUCGAAGGAUAGCCCCGGUGAAACCGAAAGCUUAGAAGGAUCAAUCAGGUUUUGUACUCUCAUUUUGAUGAUUAAGCAUUUUUAGUUCAACAAUCAGGUCUCAUUAAGAUGUUGAACACUGUCGUUCAUACAACGGGGAGCAUAAUUAUGAAGGAGAAAAAAUAAUAACCAUGCAAAAUAAUAUAUGGUUUGGAACUGUGGAACGUAUAUGGAAAAGUUUUCAGGUAUCCGAGCUAUUAUGCUACAGGGUAUGAGUAAUGGUACUCUUGAUAUCACUCUUAACCAAUGGGGGCAUAAGGUAUGUAUAUUUGUAUACACAUCUAUAUAUAUAUAUAAAUGAGAUGGAUUUGGGCAAUGUGGCAUUUGUCUUUGGCCAUGUAGGAUGAUGUGGCAAUCUGAUUUAGGAGGGAAAUCCCAUUUUGCUAUCUACAUUCACGAUUUUAAAACAAAUGCACACGGGAUCCGAAUGGAUUUGGGUCGACCAAAUGAUCCAAAUGGAUUCUUUAUAUCCGAGUUUCAUUCUCUUCAUCUCUAUCGUCACCUUCAAAACCCUAACGCCGCUACGCAUCAUCUUCAGCAAAUCCAAAAAUCUUCUUCAGCAAAUCGACAAUGGUGAUUCUCAUGAACCUUCUCACCACUGAUCCCUUAGAUUCGGGUCACAUAUAUAAUACGCUUCUUCUCUUGCACCUUGGAAACCCUAAUUUUGAUAUCCAUUGUUUUGGCCAUUUCACUCUGUUUCGCAAAGAAGAGAUCAAUCAUUCAUCAAAGCAAACCCUAAUCGCACCAACAAUCACCACGCUUCUUUUCUAAAAAAACCCUAAAUAUCAAAUUCAUGUUCCUUCUGGUUGAACCAUCUAUGAAUGCAUCAAGUAUCAUUUUCUGAUUUGUAGGUUUAAGCUUUCUCCUUUGAAGUUUUUUGGCGUUGUUAGUCUUUUCAAUUUGUCUGGUACGAGGACGGUAAUGGUGCUCGCCGCUUCAGAAAUGGCCAUUGCUGACCACCAUCCGAUUCGUCCACCAAAUCGCCGCUUUGUUCUAUUCAUGGGUUAGUAUAUAUCGAUUCAUACAAUUUUUAUAAUUUAAUCUUCCAAAUUCAUGGAUAUUUUUGAUCAAUUUAUGCCAUAACAACAUCUAUGAAAUUAAAAAAAAAAGAGAAAAGAAAAAAUUAGAUGUUGUGACCAAAAUCUGAAGUUUUUUUUAACCGGUUUACUAAUGUAUGAUCAAUUUGGUUGUGGAUUAUUCUUAUAAAACUUGAAAAUGCCUCAAUUUUAGAAUACACUUUAAGCUUCCAAAGGGGCUGGGCCGAGGUUUUUUUUUUUUUUUUUUUUUUGAGAAAUUGUAAUUUUAGUAGAGAAUGAUGUUCUCUUUUGAUGGAUCAAUACAAGUCUCUUGAUUGCUGAUAGUGCCACCAACCAUGACUUCAAUUUAUGUUUAAUACUUCACUUUAUGCAACAAGGGAUUCAUAACGCGUGCUCUGUGUUUAUUGUAGUAAUGUAAUUAUUGGGUUCUAUAUGUUUGUUAUCAUUUUGGCAUGAGAAACGAGCUUACAUGUUGGGCGAGUGCAGCUUUGUGAUUUUAUUCUUGAACAUCCUGCUAUUUCUCGAUUUCAUGCUGGUAAGCUUCGGCUUUCAUUCCCUUUUAAGAACCAAUAUAUAUUUUUUUACCCAAAACAUUUGCAGCCCUUAUUGGCCUUAUCUUUACUACUUGCACACCGUAUAUAAUGCCUUUCACUUUUAGUUAAAUAAUGUUCCAGGUUGCGCCUAAGACCUUAGAAACAAGCCUAUAGUCAGCAUCUGCCGUUCUUGCACAAGUAAGUGAUUAGUUGAGUGACCAAAUAUGUUCGGUUGGUAUCACUUGAAUGCAAAAAUAGCCAAUCGGGGUUUUUUUAUCAACCAACUGAUACUUUUUCGUUCCUUAAACUGGGUUUUAGGAUUGUAGAUGAAAGAGCAUUUGUUUUUUCAUUCAGAUUUGAAAAACUUAGAGAUAAAUUAAAGGUGCCAAACGCUUUUGGGUCCUUUUAACCUGUUCGACCCACUGGACCAGUUUCCCAUUUAGCUUAAUCUUUUGUUAAUUUGAUCUUUUAAGACAAACCAUAACCAAGUUGACCCGUUCACAAAUAAAUAUGCUGAAAUUGCCGCCUUUGACUAAGAUUUAUACAAUGUGUUAUAAAGCCUUAAGUAAGUGACUUUCUAUCUCUUAGCCUUCUAAGUGGUUCAUUUAAAAUAAUAAACUAUAAAAUAUAUAUAUAUAUAUAUAUCUUAUUAUAUAUAGUAUACAUACACAUGAGAAUUAGAAGUCUGACUCUACUUUUAGUAUGUUCUAUCAUUGUUAAAUUUUAGGUCUGGUAUACAAAUGGAAAGAGCUAGCGUAGAAGAUAGCAAUGUCAAUUUAGAUUUAGAGAGAAGCAAUGUACUUUUAAUGGUCCCAAGUGGCUCAGGUAUGACUCAUGAGGCUAUUCAACUGUUUUACUUAUUCUUCUUUCUUUCUUUGCAUAUCAGAUACUCUUAAGUUGCUAGCGUAGAAGAUCAUUUAAUGUUUAGUCACAAAUGUCAUGUGUCAUUGUGGCGUACUCUCACAUUUAAUUAGGCAUAUUUGGUGAGAUUUGUCUAAUAGUUAUAUCAGAUAUACACAUAUAUAAUAUUAAACGAAAAGGAUGAGGGAAUAUUUUUAUGGCACAAGUGGGUUCCUUUAUACCGAUUGGUGUGAAUAUUCUUAUGGCACAAGCGGGUUUCUUUGCUCCUUCUGACAAAGCUAUCAUUUUUAUCCGUAAUUGCAUUUUUGCUCGUGCUGGUGUUGGUGCUGGUGUCGGUGCCACUGAUAAGUCAUUAUAUAUUAUCCAUGAGUUGGGCAGUGGCAUAUAAAGUUGUGAUGGCUUAGCAUACUGCAUGUUGGAGCGUUUGAAUGAAAGUUAUUGGAAACUAUGGAGCGUCGACAUUGGCUAUAUCGGUGAAAAUCGUCGAAGGAUAGCCCCGGUGAAACCGAAAGCUUAGAAGGAUCAAUCAGGUUUUGUACUCUCAUUUUGAUGAUUAAGCAUUUUUAGUUCAACAAUCAGGUCUCAUUAAGAUGUUGAACACUGUCGUUCAUACAACGGGGAGCAUAAUUAUGAAGGAGAAAAAAUAAUAACCAUGCAAAAUAAUAUAUGGUUUGGAACUGUGGAACGUAUAUGGAAAAGUUUUCAGGUAUCCGAGCUAUUAUGCUACAGGGUAUGAGUAAUGGUACUCUUGAUAUCACUCUUAACCAAUGGGGGCAUAAGGUAUGUAUAUUUGUAUACACAUGCUUUUCUAUAUGUUAUACAUGUAAAAUAAGAAAAAACUUAUAAUUAAGCGUUUGUACUAAACUUACCAUAUAUUUAGGUUGGCAUUGAAGGAGAAUUCCUUCGUUUAGUUAUGUUGAUCUGUACAAGAGUGUUAGGGAAAUUAUGCAGCCUAUUAGUAACUAUAAUGAUGUGAAUAUAUUAACGAAAGUUAGCACCAGGUUAAAUAAUGCGGUUACAAGCACAACUCUGAGAUGCUUGAUACAAUGAUGAGUCUUAAUCUUGACGAGAACAAUGGAGGUAGCUACUAAAUAUUGAAAUAAAAAGUUAUAUGAUUUCAUUGAGUGUGAUGUGUUUGAAACUGAUGGAUAGCUUUGUUUUAAAGGGAGAAAAUAAUACAACCAACCAGGUUCGCUUCUAAUCAUUCCCCAUAAACUGACCUUACUAUAAAAAUAACAACUUUUCACAUGUAUAUACCUAACACGUUUUGAGUAAAAGUGGAAGACCUUUUGUGUUAACAUCUUUUGUGAAGAAAAGUUUUCAGUUGGUGGUGGUGAGUAAAGAUUAUACGUACUACGAAAUCGUUAAUUUAAAUGUAAUUUAGGAAAUUCAAACACAUUUUUCAUUAAAAAAUAUUUUUUACCACAUGAAAAUAAAAUAUAUAUAUUCAAAUUAUUUUUUUAGAACAACGAUUUUUGUCAGUUUGCUGUGUGUCUAUUGAUGAUGAUCCAGAUUUCCUUUAUUUCACUUUUUGUUGUUAGCCACUGUACGCUACGACGAUGCUACAUACUCCGACGCGUGAACUAUCUAAGGUUGCAAAUUGGAGAACAAUGACGCCUUUGGUGGUGUCGGUUUGGUCAAAGGAUGGGCGGUGGUGUUGAUAUCGGUGGGAGCAUCCGUCAACUCCAGCGACUAUAGGGUUCCAUGAAGGGCUUUGAUGAUAACUGGUGAAACGGUCGGUAAAGAGAAAGUAGUGGCAGAAUGCACGAUAGAAAAGCUGAGAUGGCUCGCCAAGCUGACGCCUUUAUUGCUCUUUUGGGUCUAUGGGAGUUUAAGGAGCUUUUCGGGAGCUUUACGGGUCACCGGAGCGAAAACGGAACCAUCGGGAAGCGACACGGGUCAAGCGGAAGCAAGAAAUGCGAUAAAGCAGAAAAAUCAACAUCCAGGCACCGUCGCCGACGCCCAUUUGGGCCGUCGCCGACGGUCUUCAUACAUCACCGUCGCCAGAAAAUGUCCGUAGACAGGAAGUUAGGCCGUAGGGCAAAAAUAAACAUGCAGGCACCGUCGCCGACGGGGCUUCAGGCCGUCGGCGACGGCUCUUCAAUCUUUGGAUCGCGAAUUUUCUUGUUUUGGGGUUUGGAACGAGCAAAAGGGGGUUGUUGGCCAUCAAUUCGGGAGUUACAACAUUUUUGGAGUUUGAAAAACAUCUUUGGAGCCAUUAUUCAGGAUCUCUUGACUACCAAUUGAUCUCCAAUCCAUACUCCAUCCUUUCAACAACAAAAAUCACGAUCCGAAUCAAAACCCUAGCUCAUCACCAUCACAAUCAUCCUUCCACAUUCAAUCCAUCCAUCACCACCAACCAUUCCUAAACCCGAAUCAUUCCACCAUCCACCCUCAAGCUCCAAGAUGAUUCAAUUGAAGUCUUGUGCAUCUGUUGAUUGUACCGUUUACACCAUGAGCGGCUAAUUUCUUGGAGGUUUCACCCCGGUGUAGACUUUUGUAAGAUUUAGGGUUUACUAUGUUUUGUUGAUUGUUUUGU